rnacentral:rRNA from 1 species
UACGUAGGGGGCGAGCGUUGUCCGGAUUUAUUGGGCGUAAAACGCUUGUAGGUGGCCACGUCAAGUCGGAUGUGAAAUCUCCCGGCUCAACUGGGAGGGGUCAUUCGAUACUGGCGGGCUCGAGGCCGGUAGGGGGAAGCGGAAUUCCCGGUGUAGUGGUGGAAUGCGCAGAUAUCGGGAGGAACACCGGUGGCGAAGGCGGUUCUCUGGGCCUGUACUGACGCUGAGGAGCGAAAGCGUGGGGAGCGAACAGG